rnacentral:tRNA from 1 species
UCUUGUAGCUCAGUUGGUAAAGAAUCUGCCUGCAAAGCAGGAGACCAAGGUUCGAUCCCUGGGCCAGGAA